rnacentral:lncRNA from 1 species
AUUAUAUACAAUGAAUGCACAUAUUAUCCGUCCAUUUUUUUAAAAAACUAUAUUUUAUAAAAGGAAAUAGAAUUUAAUACGCAUUUAUGAUUAACUGAGGAUUGAAUCCAGGGAUGGUUACCAUUGAGUUAUAUCCCCAGCCCUUUUUAUAUUUUGAGACAAGAGUCUAGGCUAAGUUGCUGAGGGUAGCCUCAAACUUGUAAUCCUCCUGCCUCAACCUCCCAAGUCAUUGAAAUUACAUGCAUAUACAAUUCUUAAAGUAACACUUCUCAUUAGUAUGAAAAACCUUAUUAUUUGUAUUAUUUUUCUUUACUCAUCAUUAAUCCCUGACGCUUGUCUUUCUUUAACACUCAUUCCACCACUGCUUUUCCUAAAGAAGAGAAUGCUUAAUACUACCUUCCUUUUCAUAAUAAUCCACUUCCAUAAUCUUAGGUAGUUACUCUAGAGAUUAUUUCAAAUUUUAGGACAGAAUUUUGCCAGAAAUUGACUUUAAAAAAUGAAAGAAUGACCUGAUAAAUCUGGGGUGGCCAAAUAUGCUGCUUUGAUCAAAAAGCAAAGCUUCAGGGCUGGGGCUAUGAUUCAGUGAUAGAGCACUCACCUAGCAUGUGUGAGGCCCUGGGUUUGAUUCUCAGCACCAUAUAAAAAUAAAAGGUAUUGUGUUCAACUACAACUAAAAAAUAAAUAAGUGAAGCAUCAGUAAUUUUAACAAUCAAAAUGUGAAUAAAUGCGAGAAACAACUGGGUAAAUUAGUAGUCAGCUAAUGUCCUCAUGGAAAAAGUAUAAAAAUACUUAAAUUUAAUUUCACAGGAGGGCCAUGCAAGAAAAAUGUAUGGAUGAAAGAAAAUUCCAAACAGGCCAAAGCCUUUCCCCACAUACCCUAAUGAUGGCCAUCUUCCAAAAAGCACUUACUAUCUGGCUCUGGACUGAAAAUGUGGCCCCACCAGCAAAGGCACUAUUCUGGAGAAAAGAGAAACCCAGAAUGCAAUGUUAGAAUUUCUUUUACUUUGCGUAGCAUUUGCUGAAUUAUGUAGUAAGUUGAAAUAUUACACCAAAAAUAUUUUCAAGGAAGAGUGUGAUCUAGGACAUUUUGUAGCACUAAAUGGAAAAAUUCGUACUCAUUGUCUGGGGUAGCCAUAAAUUCAUGAACAGUGGUGACACAGCUGUGGCAUUUGUUGAGUUUUGAAUAUGCUUGUAACAGAUGCUAAACAUACUCAGGUCAGAAUCUCUGAAAAGAAGACAAAAUUGAAUCUCUUUCAGUCUUCCAAGGCUCAAAAGACAGAAACCUGCCAAUCUCUCAAUCAAAUACCCAAUUGGGCCAUGCCAAAACAAAGGCCUAAAAAGAACAGCUGUAUUACCUCUUGACAAACUGAAGGCAUCAUGAAUAUAGCUCAAUCUGUGAUUGAAUUGAGGUGAUUUGUACCUCACAAUGUUUUUCUAACUGUGCAAAUAGAGAAUUGUUUAGGUUAGAAUAAGUCAUCUGUAUCCUCUAUAAUUAUUUUACAACAAAAUAUUUUACAUACACGAAAUUGGCUAGAGAUGAUAGAAAACAAUCUGGAAAAAAAAACAAUUCUAGCUUGGUACCAGUCUCUUUAAAGUUUUAUCAGAAAAUGAAAUGCAAAUUUGUUCAAAUAUUGUCAUUGACUGAUUUUGUGCUACACAGUUAAGAAUUGAGUAUUUGGGUCAGAGAUGGUACAGCUGGCAAAGUGUAAAAUAUUUACUAUUUUGUUCUACUUACUAUGUUGUUCUUUACAGAAGGUUAAUAACUCUUGUCAUAGGUUGUUCACUAAAAAUAAAAUACAUUUAUGUAUUGAAAA